AAUCGUAAUAGGCAACAGUCGGAAUCCGGAUCCACCAAGAGCUGUGUAGGGGUAUGAGAGGAGCAUAUAUUUGAAGAUUUGACAUCUUCAUAAUAGUGAAGACUAUUAGUUACGAAGCUCUGACUUUGCAUAUCCCAUUCCAACGUAGAUACUUUUGCAUAGUCGGUAAGCAUAAUUAACAAAUCACACCCAUUACUUCCCUUUCCCUUCAAAGCCGAUAUUUCCGUUAUAGUCCCGAAGACUUUAACUUGAGAAACGAGUCUAAGAACGUAGGUAGUUUGUUCAUUGGUACGUAUGAGAUGCAUAU